rnacentral:tRNA from 1 species
GGGGUUGUAGCUCAGUGGUAGAGUGCUUGCCUCGCAUGCGUGAGGCCCUGGGUUUGGUCCCCAGCACCACG